rnacentral:rRNA from 1 species
AUUGAACGCUGGCGGCAUGCCUUACACAUGCAAGUCGAACGGUAACAGGUCUUCGGAUGCUGACGAGUGGCGAACGGGUGAGUAAUACAUCGGAACGUGCCUAGUAGUGGGGGAUAACUACUCGAAAGAGUGGCUAAUACCGCAUGAGAUCUACGGAUGAAAGCAGGGGAUCGCAAGACCUUGUGCUACUAGAGCGGCGGAUGGCAGAUUAGGUAGUUGGUGGGAUAAAAGCUUACCAAGCCGACGAUCUGUAGCUGGUCUGAGAGGACGAUCAGCCACACUGGGACUGAGACACGGCCCAGACUCCUACGGGAGGCAGCAGUGGGGAAUUUUGGACAAUGGGCGAAAGCCUGAUCCAGCAAUGCCGCGUGCAGGAUGAAGGCCUUCGGGUUGUAAACUGCUUUUGUACGGAACGAAAAGCCCUGGGUUAAUACCCUGGGGUCAUGACGGUACCGUAAGAAUAAGCACCGGCUAACUACGUGCCAGCCGCCGCCGUAAUAC